rnacentral:rRNA from 1 species
AUGACGGACGUGGCCCUCUCCUCCAAUUCCGUCAAAUGUUGGUGGCGCAAGCUGCACCUGAUCGCUCCAAAAGAAAUUGGUAAGGAGCAGAUUGCUUUUGCUGCAUAUGUGGCUUGGCAUCUCUGGAAUGAAAGAAACAGGAGGGUGUUCCAAAGAAAAAUGCUACUGCCGCAUCAAGUUUUCAUACUGGUGACCGAGGAUGUUAGACUUUGCAAAGAGGCAUUCAGAGAGUAG